rnacentral:tRNA from 1 species
UCAGAGAAUAGUUUAAGUAAAAUAUUAGUUUUGGGGACUAAAGAUAAGAGUAAUUUUUUUUCUCUGAA